rnacentral:rRNA from 1 species
GAUGAACGCUAGCGGCAGGCUUAAUACAUGCAAGUCGAGGGGCAGCACGGGUAGCAAUACCUGGUGGCGACCGGCAAACGGGUGCGGAACACGUACGCAACUUUCCCAAAACUGGUGAAUAGCCCUCCGAAAGGAGGAUUAAUACACCGUAACAUAAUGAAGUGGCAUCACUUUAUUAUUAUAGCUCCGGCGGUUUUGGAUGGGCGUGCGCCUGAUUAGGUAGUUGGCGGGGUAACGGCCCACCAAGCCUUCGAUCAGUAACUGGUGUGAGAGCAUGAUCAGCCACACGGGCACUGAGACACGGGCCCGACUCCUACGGGAGGGCAGCAGUAAGGAAUAUUGGUCAAUGGACGCAAGUCUGAACCAGCCAUGCCGCGUGGAGGAUGAAGGCCCUCUGGGUUGUAAACUUCUUUUCUUUGGGACGUAAACCCCUGUUUCUACGGGGACUGACGGUACCAGAGGAAUAAGCACCGGCUAACUCCGUGCCAGCAGCCGCGUA